UACGUAGGGUGCGAGCGUUGUCCGGAAUUAUUGGGCGUAAAGAGCUUGUAGGCGGUUUGUCGCGUCUGCUGUGAAAUUUCGGGGCUCAACCCCGAACUUGCAGUGGGUACGGGCAGACUAGAGUGUGGUAGGGGAGACUGGAAUUCCUGGUGUAGCGGUGAAAUGCGCAGAUAUCAGGAGGAACACCGGUGGCGAAGGCGGCUUUCUGGGCCUUACCUGACGCUGAGGAGCGAAAGCUGGGGGAGCAAACAGG
rnacentral:rRNA from 1 species